CGUCUUGGUGUGGGUACUGGCUGUAGGGGCGGGGGCUGGGCACAGUUCUGUCUCCUCCACCCUGGGACUGGUCAAGCCGGAUGGAAGGGGUGGGGGUGACGACCACCAGGAGCGAUCGGGCUCUGCUGCUCGCCGCCCCACGGCCCCUCCCGAGAGCUACCCAUAGCAGAGAUAGCUGGAGUCUAUAGAAGCCAAAAGCACGGGCUUCCCUUCAGAGCAACCUACCUCCUCUGUGACCAGACAAGACCCAAGACUUCUCUUUUGCCUGUCUACUUGCAGCUGCAGAAGCCCUAUCCUGUGGCCACCGCAGCCUCCUCCAAGCGCUCUGUCCCCACACUGCCCAACCCUUAUGGACACCUCCGGGCACCGUUCUGAGAGCCCCUCAGUCUCCCAGCAACCACAAUGGGGGCAGCAGCGAAAGUGGACCCUGCCCCGCCCUGCCACCAAAGUCAGAGACAGUGACCACAUACAUCUCUUCUCCGAGUCUGCUCUACCAUCCAGCCCCAAGCCCUGGACAGGCCCUCAGCUUAAAAAUAUGAGCAUCACCUGAUUAUCUUUUGUCAACGAGUUGGUUUUUCCACAAAGGAGAUCUGAAAGCAGGCAUAAAGACACAAAUCCCAGGUUUUAUAAGGUCAAGGCAGAAAGAUCUCUGAGUUCCAGGUCAGCCUAAGCUAUGGAUCAACAGCAAAACAAGAUGACAAAAGACCAAGUUGGAGCCUGGAUGACUCAGAGCUGUUCCUCCCAGAAGCACUUAGACAAGCUAAUAAGGCACAUCAAAGCUGUGACAGGAUUGUCAAGAUGCCUCUAGACAAAACAGCACCACAGAGCUACCUGCCACAGCUCCAAACCCAGAAUGUGGCACACUGAAAUGAGGGUCUACUAAGAUAAGGUGCCAACCACGGGAAAUAUGUUUCAGUGUUAGACUAGCAAUACAGCUAUGACGUCCCAGCUAACCCUGGACCUUGGAGUUGCAAAUCUCAGAGGUCAUGUAGUCCAACAAAAGUUCAUUCCACAAAGCUGUAUACUUCAGCAUUCUCAAUGUGGUCCUGAGGGCAUGAAGGUUCUUAACAAGUCACUGCUCUUCAGUCCACAUUGGAAGGCCAAGGAAGUUGGAGUCUGGCGACAGAAGCAACGGCAUCAACUACAGGCAGACACACUCUCCAGCAAGAAUGGAAUGCUGAAGCUUAGGAAAAAUGCAAGAUUCCUUUGCGAUCCAUCCUAAUUGUAAGCUGCUGAGAGGAACAACUAGAAGGAGAAGACAGAAAAGGGGGAUGCACAGCUAAAACCUUCAGCUCAUUGUGAUCUGGGGGAGUUAACUGCUGAUUAAUGAUCAGCGUCUUCAUGACCUUUCUUGAAAGUCUUUCAAAAAAACUGCCGUCACCUAUGAACACGAUCUCCCUUCUGCAACUGCAAAUUCCUUUAGGGAAACACAGCACUGAAAGCCAAACAGCCAACACAGCAGACACACAGCACCUGUUUCCAGCCACUGCUCUGCCGCUUACCAACUGCAUAACCCAGUAUGAGCUAUCUGAUCUCUCUUGAUUGCUAGUUUUCUCACCUGUAAAAAGCAUGGUUCCUAUUCACCCUUCAAGACCCAGCUUAAGUAUUGCCUCUCCCAGGACCACAGGAGGAUCACAUCAUUCCCUCCGAAGUUCUGAGAAGAUUUGAUGCCGAUUUCCACACUGCUGCUUGGCUGUUCCUCUCGUAGACAGCAAAUGCCUUUGUUCUGCUAUGCCAUAUUUCUAUCAUAGGCUGGAACCGAUGGUCUGCACUGUGCUCAUUCACUUCAUAUCUCCAUCAGUUAGCACAAUUCCCAGACAGGAUAUGGCCAGGUGCCUCACGUUCCUGCCAUCACAUCUUCCCUGCCAUGCUGGAUUGUAUCCCUUCUUAAAACUCCCCCUGGCCCUUGUACGUCCUGUCAAUGAAUACAGCAUACACACCUCAGCCUGAAGGAUACCUGCAAAUGAGGUUCCUAUCAUAAAGAGAAGCUGCAUUCUCGGAGCAUGAGGACCCCUAUGUGAAGUCACACCCAAUAAAACAAAACUUGAUUAACAACAGA